UUCAAUUGAAUCGUGUCUUCUAGAAUCCUCUGCUCCAUUAGAACGGCAUAACCCUAGAACAAUAGAACUCCGCAAAAACAGUGAACUUAGUGAAGGUUUGAUCACUUAACUUCAUUCUCGAAGGCAGCACGCAGCACCACAGGUCCGCAAUUCGCAACUCGCACUGUCACACUUAACUUCAGUCUCGCAAGCAGCACGCAACAGUCAACACACAACACGGCACCACAGGUCUGCAAAUGACGAAGUGACGAGCUAGUGUGACUCAACUUAUGAUUGCCACUUUGAUAAUUGUAAGUAUAUAUAUAGUAGUUGCCACUUUGAUGAUUUGAUCUUGUCAUUACAUAUUUACAUUAAGGAUUUAAGUUUAAUUGUCCAAACUCAUUCACAUUUCCCAUGUGUAAUACAACUACAAGUCUACAACUACCUAUUGGAUUGGACUUUUGAGAGCGGAUAGUGUGGAGUGUGGGAGUGGAACUAUGGAUGUGGAGUCCUACUGGAUUAAUUAGUGGAUUAUGUAGCAGUGGUUGUCGUGUUUAACAGUUUAACGAUGCUUGAGUAGUUAAGUUGUUAAAAACUUAAAAUGUUCUCUUUUGUGGUAAUGAACUACAGCUACUGAUUAGUGAUUA